GACGAACGCUGGCGGCGUGCUUAACACAUGCAAGUCGAACGGUGAAGCGCCUUCCUUUUUGGUGGGUGUGGAUGAGUGGCGAACGGGUGAGUAACACGUGAGUAACCUGCCCCCUUCUUCUGGAUAACCGCAUGAAAGUGUGGCUAAUACGGGAUAUUCUGGGUCUGUCGCAUGAUGGGUCUGGGAAAGAUAUUGUUUCGGUGGGGGAUGGGCUCGCGGCCUAUCAGCUUGUUGGUGGGGUGAUGGCCUACCAAGGCGGUGACGGGUAGCCGGCCUGAGAGGGAGGACGGUCACGAUGGGACUGAGACACGGCCCGGACUCGUACGGGAGGAGGCAGUGAGGAGUAGUGCACAGUGGGCGCAAGGCUGAUGCAGCGGCGGCGCGUGAGGGAUGGGGGCCGUCGGGUUGGGAGCCUCUUUCGCCAGUGAAGGAGGCCUGCCUCGUUUGUGGGUGGGUUGACGGUAGCUGGAUAAGAAGCGCCGGCUAACUACGUG
rnacentral:rRNA from 1 species